CAGCCGCCGCGGUAAUACCGGCGGCCCGAGUGGCGGUCACUAUUAUUGGGCUUAAAGCGUCCGUAGCCGGGUUGGGAAGUCCUCCGGGAAAUCUGGCCGCUUAACGGUCAGAAUUCCGGGAGAUACUCCCAGCCUAGGGAGCGGGAGAGGCCGAGGGUAUUCCCGGAGUAGGGGGGAAAUCCUAUAAUCCCGGGAGGACCACCUGUGGCGAAGGCGCUCGGCUGGAACGCGUCCGACGGUGAGGGACGAAGGCCAGGGGAGCAAACCGGAUUAGAUACCCGGGUAGUCCUGGCUGUAAACGAUGCGGACUUUGUGUCGGACAAGCUAUGAGCUUGUCCGGUGCCGGAGGGAAACCGUUAAGUCCGCCGCCUGGGGAGUACGGCCGCAAGGCUGAAACUUAAAGGAAUUGGCGGG
rnacentral:rRNA from 1 species